AUUGAACGCUGGCGGCAGGCCUAACACAUGCAAGUCGAACGAGAACGGGUUAUAGUUUACUAUAACUGUCAGCUAAGUGGCGCACGGGUGAGUAAUAUAUAGGUAACGUGCCCUAGAGAGGGGGAUAACAUUUGGAAACGAAUGCUAAUACCCCAUAAUGUCUACGGACCAAAGGGGGCUUCGGCUCUCGCCUUUAGAUUGGCCCAAGUGGGAUUAGCUAGUUGGUGAGGCAAUGGCUCACCAAGGCGACGAUCCCUAGCUGGUUUGAGAGGAUGAUCAGCCACACUGGGACUGAGACACGGCCCAG
rnacentral:rRNA from 1 species